GUGAGACAACGCUGUAGAGCCCACUGAUGCAGCCUGAUCUGCCAGGAGAUGACAGCGUUCUCUGCUUUUAUGUACAAGUACAGUAUCAGAGGUCAGAAACCAUUUUAUCUGUCACAACACUAGUCCAGUUGUGGGACAGGAAUCAGUGGUUUGAAGAAUUUUCACCAAGUGAAACGUUGAAUGCAAGUGUGCAAGAGAACCUGGGAUUAGAAGAGAAUCAUGCCUUCACAAAGAGGAGAAGAUACCCAGUGAAAACUAAACUGAAGACAUAACAAGAUGCUAAAUUGGUAAUCUGUGUAAAUGAUAUAAGCAUGUCCCAUGAUUAAAAAGUAGGCAUG